ACUCCAUCUCUUUAAAACCUGAGCUUUGCCCAUAAGUUAAUCCUGGCCAAGGCCUCAGAGGACAUACAGGCCAUUCCAAGGGUCCAACUUCCAAGCCAGCUCAAGAUCUAGCCUCAACAUUCCAGGUGACAAUUCCCCCUCUCUAAUGGAUAACAGCAGCAGAAGCCAGGACAAGAAGUCCAAAGCCAACGAUCGUCAGGAAGCAAAAGAAGUUAAUAGCACUGCACAGCAUUUUGUUGAUUUCACAGAAGCAGAGGAAGAUAUCGUUUUAAGAAUGCACAGGCUUGUCAGGAACAGGUGGGACCUUAUAGCAGGAAGAAUCCCUGGAAGGACCGCAGAAGAAGUAGAGAUGUUCUGGACUAGAAAACACCAGGAAAAAUGAAGGAGCAUUGGGUGAACAAGGAGUAGGCCAUCUAUUUCACAAAAAUAUUAUAAGGCGCCAAUUCACCCGCCUCUAGUCGCAUAUCUCAGUCCUACAAAGGAUAAGAUGAAAAGGAGAAGGGCGGAGAAGAAGAGGAGGAAGGAGAAGAAGGAAAAGAGAAGGUUUUGCUGCCCUAGGUUUUGGGAAAACUCAAGGUGGUGACGCGCCAAGACGUGCAUAGCUUGUUUUCGUCUUUAGUAGAGGCAAGUGAAUAUAACAGUUGUUGUAAUAACUUUAACUUGUUAUUUUUACUACUUCCACCUAUAAAUGCAGUACGCAUGUUUAGACUUAAUAAUGAUAAAUGAUUUUAAGUGAUGUUUUAAUUAUGUUGAGUAGGUUCUACAUGGUUAUUUUCUAUAUGAGGGCUUUUGCAGUUCAGAUCAUGGUUGAUUUUAUAAUGCACAUACGUGGCAUAUGCAUAUGUAGAUUAUUUUUUAUAUAGUCUACUUUUGUUAUAUUUUUGAAGAUGAUGUAGUAAUCCUUAUUGGUUACAUAGAUGGUAAAAUUUAAUACAGUGGUAAUAAUACUUAUUUGUGGCUUUUAGUCAUUUUAGCAUAUUCACACCUUAUCUCUUUCAAUGGCUAGAAUACAUGAGGAUAAUGAUGUGGGUUAUGUAGAAGCUUAUAGAAGUGGUUAUACUAUGACCUAUGAUGGGGGGUAGUGAAGUAGGUUGUAAAACCAUAUUAAAUGGAAGAUAAAAUAGACAUGUUGUCUCACACAUAUCUAAAUGAAGACUGUACCUAUGUUCUUAUAGCAUGAAGGUAAGUGUCUUAGUGAAGUUCAUAACUUAGGCUAUUUUGUAUGGUCAUAAGUAGUAUUGAUAAUGCAGUUGUGCUAUUUUAUACAUGAUGUAAAAGAUAAAAUGGAUGAAUCAUGAGUUAGCAUAAGUGCAGUACUUAUCUUGUUGAUAUUUUGCAUAGAAAUAGUUUUUUUAUAUAUAUGAGAUCUUACAGUGGAGUAGUCUAUUGGCCAAUUUAGAAGUAUGCUAUAUCUAUGUAGCUACAUAUGGAAGAUCAUAGCUUAUAUCAUUUAACUUUAUGUAUGCUUUAUAUUUUGAUAUGUGGAGGAUGUUGAACUAUGUGGUUCUAUUUCUUACAAUUGCAAUACAUCAUCUGCAUCGCAUUUCAUUGCAUUCUAUUUAAGCCAGGUCGGUAUGAAAGUCAUAAAACUAUAUCAGAGUGCAUAAGCCAGGCAAGUGAGAAAAUUAUAUGACUAUUCUAGAGUGGUCUUGAAGUUAUGUCGUGAUCUUAUGGUUGCGACCGUACCAGUACAACAUCGUAUAUUGUUGUAAUACGACACAGCUUCAUACCUUGUUUGAUUGUACCAAGCUCAAGAAGAAGAGCACAACAACCACGACUACAACAAGCACAAGAAGAAGAACAAGAAGCCCUUCUUCAAGAAGAACUGUGACAAGAUAGCUAAGAAGGCGGCCAAGACGGCUUCUAGAGCGUUUGUGGUGGCUCUCAGCGACAUCGACACCUCUUCAAGCGAGAAGGAGAGCUCAAAGGAGUAGGAACCACAAGUGAAGAGCAAAAAGAAGGCCAAUGACUUUACCGACUUCUGCUUCAUGGCGGAUGACAACAACAAUGACAUCGACCUUGAGCUUGAUCCUUUUGAGUGAGUGAAGAUGUUGAAGACUAUCAAGACGAGGUUGUGACGUUCUAGGCGCGUGUCUCCCGGUCAGUUUCCUGCGGUGUUGUUGGGCACCAGUGGUUCUGUUUCGCUGUAGAUAUAUACAUAGAAGACAAUAUAUGUCAAUUGAUGUAAGAGUUUAAUGUUUAUUCUAUAAAAGUAUUGCUUUUUUUACUUCACCUGUGACGUCCUUGUAUGUGUUGAAUAUCAUGGGCACACAUAAGCCGCAUAUGAUUUUGUCCGUUAAAAACCGGGUGUGACAGUUCCUCAUGCUGAUCUCCCUGAGCUGCAGGAAUAUCCUGACCUCCCUAACCUCUAUUCAGAAUGCAGGAAUUCACAUUGAAAAGCUUGUAUCCCAUAUGUUUUAUAUC